GACGAACGCUGGCGGCGUGCCUAAUACAUGCAAGUAGAACGCACAGUUUAUACCGUAGCUUGCUACACCAUAGACUGUGAGUUGCGAACGGGUGAGUAACGCGUAGGUAACCUGCCUGGUAGCGGGGGAUAACUAUUGGAAACGAUAGCUAAUACCGCAUAAUAUUAAUUAUUGCAUGAUAAUUAAUUGAAAGGUGCAAUUGCACCACUACCAGAUGGACCUGCGUUGUAUUAGCUAGUAGGUGAGGUAACGGCUCACCUAGGCGACGAUACAUAGCCGACCUGAGAGGGUGAUCGGCCACACUGGGACUGAGACACGGCCCAGACUCCUACGGGAGGCAGCAGUAGGGAAUCUUCGGCAAUGGACGAAAGUCUGGCCGAGCAACGCCGCGUGAGUGAAGAAGGUUUUCGGAUCGUAAAGCUCUGUUGUAAGAGAAGAACGGGUGUGAGAGUGGAAAGUUCACACUGUGACGGUAUCUUACCAGAAAGGGACGGCUAACUACGUG
rnacentral:rRNA from 1 species